rnacentral:rRNA from 1 species
AUUGAACGCUGGCGGCAUGCCUUACACAUGCAAGUCGAACGGUAACAGGUCUUCGGAUGCUGACGAGUGGCGAACGGGUGAGUAAUACAUCGGAACGUGCCAAGUAGUGGGGGAUAACUACUCGAAAGAGUGGCUAAUACCGCAUGAGAUCUACGGAUGAAAGCAGGGGAUCGCAAGACCUUGUGCUACUAGAGCGGCCGAUGGCAGAUUAGGUAGUUGGUGGGAUAAAAGCUUACCAAGCCGACGAUCUGUAGCUGGUCUGAGAGGACGAUCAGCCACACUGGGACUGAGACACGGCCCAGACUCCUACGGGAGGCAGUAGUGGGGAAUUUUGGACAAUGGGCGCAAGCCUGAUCCAGCAAUGCCGCGUGCAGGAUGAAGGCCUUCGGGUUGUAAACUGCUUUUGUACGGAACGAAAAGCCCUGGGUUAAUACCCUGGGGUCAUGACGGUACCGUAAGAAUAAGCACCGGCUAACUACGUGCCAGCCGCCGCCGUAAGAC